rnacentral:sRNA from 1 species
CUCGGGUUCCUGGGAACAGAAAACAUGCAUGACAUAUUUCCCGUUGGCUCUGGCUCUCAGAACCAAACGUGGUACAGCCAGGAGCUCAGAACUCAGGAGUUUGAACUGGCUCUGCAUGAACUAAAACCCAGGUUUCUAGACUCGGGUCACCAAUCAGUCAAUAUUGAAAGUCAGGUGCCCUUGGGCAUGGGGCUGGCUUUAGACCUCAGGGAGCACAGGAUGGUAAAUUCUCCUAACCUGACCACCAGAAGUUCCAACGUGCUAAACACGGCUGUUCUCUAAGUGAUAUCCUUCAGCAUGGGACUCCAGCAUGAGAGUGAGAAAUGCAGAUUCCAGGAGACUUAAUAGAUCUGUAGACACAGAUCCUGGCCGGGAUUGCACCUCAAGCUGACUCUUCCUUAAUCUUUAGGCAGUAUGUCCCAGAAGACUGGAAAAACGUUUCUUUAGCAAGAAAACUGAGGUCUUGGAAGGGCCCUGGCCUGAGCCAGGAACAGUUGUCCCUACCCCCUCAACCCUAGCUCUGUUUGGUGACUGUGGUGGGGUUGCCAGGGGAACCGGGCUGUGCAACUUCCUGGCUUUGGCGUUUUUCCCCCUCGUUGGCCUUAUCUCGGCAUCCGCCACCCAGUCCAGGGCUGCGUGCUGGUCACGUAGAGGGGAAGCUGGUGCCAGGCGUGUCGAGGACACCAAGGGAACACUGCCCAAGUAUUGGAAGGGCCAGAGGGUGGUGCUGCGAAAUUCAAGAAGUCCAGGAGAGUGGGCAGGGCCAUGAGUUCGUUAAUGUCUUUCUCUAUGGCUUGGGAGGUACCUGCCAAAUGAGGAUGUUGGAGAAUUAUGGCUAACUAGGGGCUCUCUCUGCCUUAUCGCUCAGUUCUUUUCACAGCCGGAUCCCGGCAUCACCUGAACGAAUGUUCUUCUCCAGACCUACUCUCCAGCCCCAGGAUCCCCCAGUGGUCCCUACCCCAACACCAACAACCCUGCUUCCAAAGUUCUAUGCAUGUCUGCUCUUUCUGCUCGGGUCAAGAUUACUUUCUGUGUUUUGGGCUCUCCCUGCUGCAGCUCAGUCUCGUGGGCAGUCAUUAAGAGCAGGAAAGGGGAAUGGGGUUUUGAAGACAGAUGGAAUGCUGCUAGCAGUGUAAGUAAAGUAAUUCGUGCAUUUAAGUAUUUAUUUAUGUUUUGGGCCUUUGAUUUGAGAAGAAUUUAGGGUGGUUUGGAGAAUUUAAGUGUUCCAGGAAAGGCAGCGGGGUGAUGCAACUCUCAAGCUUCAUGCAAUUUAGAAACAAAAGAAAAAGACCCAUUCCUGAGUCCUGAUGUUUGCACUACACUAAGGACAAGACCCCUGCAUGGCUGAGGGGAAGAAAACACAGCAAACUGAUUCUCAGGUGAGGUCUUAUCUUCAUUCCCUUCCGUCCCCCAGGGAUGGGGGCUAUUAUCCCCUCCCAGGAGGAAACCAGGCUCAGGCCAGGGUCAAGCCUUGGGAGACUUAUAAAUCAUAGCUGUCCUUUUCCGUUCUGUUCCUCCAGGGAACACAGCAUGGGAGAGCUUCCUCCCAGCCCUCCAAGAUGGGAUUUUGGCUAGGAACCAGACGCAGCAGAAGCAGCUUUACUGAGGAUCAAAAUGGAUACCCCGAAAAUGGAAGCAGAGGCUAUGGAAGGCUGAGGAGAAGGAGGUGACUCCUUGCCUCAGGAACUCUGAGGACGAGUAUAGAGGUUCAGAGAGAUCCUGAGGAAGAAGCGUUGCCACAUUGGAGCAACACAAAUUCCUCCACAGGAAUGUAGAUCUCAUCCCGUUCUCUGUCCAGGCCCAGCCACGUCAUCCUGCUUCUUUCCUCACCUACCCACGGAAUGUGUCUUUCCCCCUAGUGCUGGGUGGCUGGGUUCCUCCAUGCACUUCAGAGGGGCGGGGGAAGGGGAGGACAGGGAGUGGUAGAGAACUAGUGUCCCUCUGCAUUGCUCUUAGGAGACAUGCUUAAGUGAGAAGCCAGACUUUAUUUUAACAGCUCUGCUGAACCAUGUCUCCCAGGCUCCUCCUGCCAAGUAGGCUUCUUCAUCAUAGAGUCAAGCUUCCUAUGUCUCCUGCCUCAGCUACUGUGACGGCAUCUCUAGGGCCAGCAGGGCGAUUGGGAUGAAAAGGCCGUUUCAGGGUCAAGUCCAAACCAGAAUGGACAGGGUGGGCUACUGAUGUUUGGCCCCCUCUACUCCUCUCCUGGAUCCUGACCCUUGGGUAGCAAUCUAGGCCUUAUUCUGGGCAUUUCUGGGAGCGAUGCCAUGGUAGGACGGCUAGAGGUAACUGCUUGAAGUUUGGGUAGGGAUAUUGCUGUACUUUUGAGCCAUAUUUUGCUGAGAAAGCUCUGUAUCAGUGCUGGGACCUGGUUAUGGGAGGCCUGAAUCUUAUGUAGUUUUGGAAGCUCCACUUGAGAAAGGCAAUAUGAAAUUAUUAAUGCAAAAUUAAAUACAGAGACAAACACUUGGAAUAAUAAAGCCAGAAUAAUUACAAGCUGUAAGCACUCUUAUAUGUCACCAAGAUUGCCACCCCAGGAGGAAUAAUAUGCUUUGUGAAUGGCGGUAAUUCCACCCCCGCCUCUCAGUCUCUUUGAAUAAUAAUGAUUUUAUAACUUGUAUAACAACCCAGUCUUUCCCGGGAUGUGGACUGAACGACACUCUUGUUAUUAUUGAUAGAUUAGGAUGUUUCUCUUCUCAGCUGCUGUGGGGAGAAAAAUCACGUCAGUUUUUAUUGUUCUUGUCAAAUUUGGGGGAAAUUGUAUUUCAUUUCUUUCUUAUAGGAGCUGUAGGAUUUCGGAGCAUCGUUCAGUAAUUAAUCUUAUGUGUCUUUUGAAUUGAGGGCACUCAGUAAUUAGCUUGUCGCUGGUCCAGCUCUUGCCCGGCUAGUAUGGGUUUCAUGGAUUCUCUAUCAAGGCCAACGCUUUCUGUUAAAUCAACAAGGACUUCAGUGGUCUUCUCCCAGAUGUUCGCGUCACUCCCUUCUUGUUAAGUGGAUCACUGUGCAACAGAAACUCCAUCUUACUCCUUCAGAUCUCAUCUGCUCCUCUUCCGGAAUUGCCUUUCUCUGUGGGUACAGAGACCUAUGCAGAAAAUGAGGUAAAAUAUUGCAAGAGCCAAUGGAUGGAAGACGCCAAAGAAACAAGUGUCUUCCAGACGCGACAGGGCUGAUGCACUUGUGAGCUCACACCAGGGAAACAGUAUCUUCCAGACACAAUAGGGUGGACACACAUUCAAACUCAUGAAGAUGUGGCAGUAAACACAGGGCCUGUACAGGUCCAAGCCAAAUGGGGGGAGUGAACAUGAACCCCUAUCCCUAACUGAGAAGCUCUCUCCAGCUGGCAAUGUCUCACAAAGGAAAAGCUGGUCUCUCUAAUGGAGUCUCGCUGGGUGUACAGAUCACAGGGUAUGGAGAGAUGGAUCUGUGGUUAAAAGCACUGACUGCUCUUCCAGAGGACCAAGGUUCAGCACCCACAUGGCAGAUCAUAACCAUCUGGGAUUCCAGUUUCAGGUGAUCCAAUGCCACCUUCUGGCCACCAGUGGUACUGCAGACACAUGGUGUACAAACAUUCAGUCUUCAUACUCAUCCACAUAAAAAUUGUAAGAAAAGCGUUCAAAAAUGUUAAAAUAUUCUUGUUAUGCUUCACAGUGUAUUUGUAGCCCACUGUCCUGAUGUACUUGUCAAAUGUCUGCCUCUUCCUCCCCAGAACUUGUGAAUACUUUCCUUACAUGGCAAGAGAGGUUUUAGAGAAAUGAUUAACUUAGGGAGCCUGAGGUGGGAGAUGAUUGUGACUGUUCAGGUGGAGUUGAUGGGCUUUGGGGACAGGGGAAGGGGUCGUGAGCCAAGGAAAAGGGGCAGCCUUCAAAGCAACAGAAAGCUCUAGGGAGAAUGCAGCCUUGUCGAUGCUUCAAUGUUAGCUCAGUGAAACGCAUCAAACUCUAAAUAAAAUUUGAAUAAAUUUGUUUUUAUUUAAGCUACUACA